rnacentral:ncRNA from 2 species
UAAACUUGCCGCACUUUUGGUGCUCGCGCCCGCCUUCGAAGCGGACGCAGUCAAACGGGAAACAGGGAGCGAAGUCCGGCAAGGACGAGCCGACCUGUGCUGCCCCCGCAACGGUAAGCGACCGCAACGCAAGUUGCAAGUCGUCCCCGAUACGUUUUGCCCGCGUUUUUGCCCGCAUUUUUCGUCACUUGAAAUAGGCGGCCGAGGCAAACGUUAAAUGCCACUGCGCCAACGCGCGGGAAGGCGGGACGAUGCUGUCGCCAGCCCGGAUACCGGCCAGGAGUCGGGUGCGUCG